rnacentral:rRNA from 1 species
CUACGAAAGGUGCAAGCGUUGUUCGGAAUUACUGGGCGUAAAGCGCGUGUAGGCGGAUCGUUAAGUCAGGGGUGAAAGCCCGGGGCUCAACCCCGGAACUGCCCUUGAUACUGGCGAUCUAGAGUCCGGAAGAGGUGGGCGGAAUUCCCGGUGUAGAGGUGAGAUUCGUAGAUAUCGGGAGGAACACCAGUGGCGAAGGCGGCUCACUGGUCCGGCACUGACGCUGAGACGCGAAAGCGUGGGGAGCAAACAGGAUUAGAAACCCCUGUAGUCC